GAUAAAGUCUCUUCACCAUUGUUUCAACAUGAAGGUUUGUAAUAAAAAUUUGUUUCUAUCAGCAUUGCUUUGCAUUGCUAUUGCAGGAGUUUUGGGUCAAGCUCCUAGUAAUCCUCCUACGUCUACGCCGGCGCCACCCACACCACCGGCUUCUACUCCUCCUCCGACGACUCAACCACCGCCUACACCAACCGCCACUCCGCCACCAGUUUCUACUCCUCUUCCCACUUCAUCACCGCCCCCAGUGACAGCUUCUCCACCCCCAGUUUCAACUCCUCCACCCAGUUCUCCUCCUCCCGCAACUCCACCACCUGCUUCUCCACCUCCUGCAACUCCACCUCCAGCUUCUCCACCUCCUGCAACUCCACCUCCAGCUUCUCCACCUCCCGCCACUCCUCCACCAGCAACCCCCCCACCUGCAACUCCUCCUGCUACCCCACCACCAGCUCCAUUGGCUUCUCCUCCAGCCACAGUCCCAGCUAUCUCUCCAGUACAAACACCAUUGACCUCGCCACCAGCUCCGCCGACCGAGGCCCCAGCACC
rnacentral:lncRNA from 1 species